AAUUCUUAGGAGGGUAGGUUGUCCGGUUUCCACCGUGCAGUUAGCUAGACGCAACCCAGACGCAAUUCCAGAGAAGAAAUAUAUUGCUAUUUGGAGAGCAAGGUUUUUACCUUUGUUCUUUAAAUGUAUAUAUAUUUCUCGGCUGUUUGCUUACACGUUUGUUCAGCUUUAAAAAUAACCGAAUCGUGUUUUUCUAUCCUCUUAUUUUUUUAUUAAGUUCAAACAUAAAAUAGUAGUAGCCGUAAGUUUUUU
rnacentral:telomerase_RNA from 1 species